rnacentral:rRNA from 1 species
CCUACGGGAGGCAGCAGUGGGGAAUAUUGCACAAUGGGCGAAAGCCUGAUGCAGCAACGCCGCGUGAGCGAUGAAGGCCUUCGGGUCGUAAAGCUCUGUCCUCAAGGAAGAUAAUGACGGUACUUGAGGAGGAAGCCCCGGCUAACUACGUGCCAGCAGCCGCGGUAAUACGUAGGGGGCUAGCGUUAUCCGGAAUUACUGGGCGUAAAGGGUGCGUAGGUGGGUUCUUAAGUCAGAGGUGAAAGGCUACGGCUCAACCGUGGUAAGCCUGUGAAACUGGGAAACUUGAGUACAGGAGGGGAAGUUGGAAUUCCUAUGUUAGCGGUGAAGUGCGUAGAUAGUAGGAGGAACACCGGUGGCGAGGGCGGCUUUCUG